rnacentral:lncRNA from 1 species
GCAACAAACACAUAUAUAAAAGAAGAGGUGCUGCUCAAAAAUCAUAUAGUAAUACAGAAAACUACUGGUGAUACGAUUCCAAGAAAUGUAUUAAACUGUUGGGAAAAACAUUUAGUACAAACCGAGAGAAAAAUAUUAAAUUGUUCGGAAAAUUCUCCUCAUAAUAAUUGUAGUUUUCGGGGCGGACUUGGGAAGACUGAUUUCCACACAAGAGAAAAGAGGGGGUACUUAAAAGUUUUUCAAAUAUGAGAUAGCUGACUUUAUAACUACUUCUGCUGCAUUCAUGGGGCAAUUGGACAGAGUUCCAUUUUAGAAGCUGGAAGUGUUUCCGUUCUGCACGUAACUAACCGCGCUUUUUCCUCUUCUUGGUUGAAACAUCUUCUUGAAGUCCCUCGAAGUCAUGAACAAGAUAGAAACUGUCAGUACUAGACAUUACACACAACUCUUACAUAACAAGAUAAAACAAUUCACAUGCUGGUUAAAAAAUUGAUAGGUGCUUGCUUCUCGACAAAAUACAUCCUAACAAGUGGGUUCUAGUCCAGUUAUCUAGUGUUCCAUGUAUGUUCAAUUCCGUGAUAGUUCUAGGCACGUGUAGAAGACGUAGGGAAGAUGCCAGCGUGUCAGAAAGAAAGACAGAAAGUGGUAAACUCAAUUCAGCAGAGCUACUCUGACAUGGCACAUAAACCAGCAUAAACCAACUAAUUCAGGGAAAAUUGACCACAGUACAAUUUUCUUUGGCUUCUCCUCUGGACAAUAUUAUCAGUACAAUGUAUGCAGAAGACUGACAAUACAUGGACAAGAUUAACAGAGAACUCGAACAUUUGAUUGAACAUAGAAAUUGCAAUAUCAUCCUCCCCACAAGAGCAUUGACGACAGACAUGAAUAGUUACUACCAACCUAGAUAGACUCUUUUGCUCACUAUGGCAGACGCAGCAGACCAUCUAGAGCACUUAUUCGGCAGGAACGAUGACAGAAAAAUAAAAAGCAGUAACACCAGAUACAGUAGGCUUUGCCGGACACCAUCUCAGAGACUUCAGAUGUCUUUGGAACCGCAGAUUUCUCUCAGGCAGCGACACCUUUCUCGGCCACCUUCUCCACUCCCCAAGCACAUGAACAGACACCCUCCUACCAUCACUAUGCUGCAUUCAUACCCUGAAUCCAAAUUCUGAAGGCAACCCUCUUGUCUGGCUUCAGAUUCACCCAAAUCAGAACGAAAAAAUCGAUCCACUGCUGCCACCAAAACCUCCUACAAACCCUAGAAACGCUGGUCCGACACAAACGGGACAACAAUCGCCUCAAUCUGGCGAUACCACACACAGAGAACACGAACCAGCGUGACAAAGAACACAGCGGGGGAAUUGGGGGCAUUACCUUGAAGAUGCCGAACUUGACGGGGCUUGACGGAACCCUAGGCGCGCGGACCUUGACGGAACCCUAAAUGACCCGAGCUUGACGAAGCCUAGACGACCCCGUUCUUGAUGGAACCCUAGACGACGACGACGAGGAGGCUCUGACCACCUGCAGAAAACAAAUCCAUCGCGACGACAUCAGCCAGAUCUGAUCGGCGAUGCCUCGGACGAAUCAGGGGGAGAGAGGCCCGUCGGCUGCUUACCAGGGCGGCGGUCUCUUGCCGGAGUGGGAUGAAGAGGGAGGAAGGGGGAUGAGGCAUGAGGGAGGAAGAGGAAGGGGGAGGCGUCUCUGGAGCGAUGAAAGAAAGAAAUAGGUAGUAAAAAGGCUGGCCCAAAUCAGGUGAAG